AAAGUACUCCCUCAGUCCCAAAAUUCUUGUCUUAGAUUUGUCUAGAUACGGAUGUAUCAAGUCACAUUUUAGUAUUAGAUACAUCCGUAUCUAGAAAAAUCUAAGACAAGAAAUUUGGGACAGAGGGAGUAGUUG
rnacentral:pre_miRNA from 1 species